rnacentral:rRNA from 1 species
CUAACACAUGCAAGUCGACCGAGAAGCCUUACAAGACUCUUCGGAUGAUUUAAAGGUGGAAAGCGGCGGACGGGUGAGUAACGCGUGGGCAACCUGCCUUAUACAGGGGGAUAACACCGGGAAACCGAUGCUAAUACCGCAUAACACAUAGAUAUCGCAUGGUAUUUAUGUCAAAGGAGAAAUCCGGUAUAAGAUGGGCCCGCGUCCAAUUAGCUAGUUGGUGGGGUAGAGGCCUACCAAGGCGACGAUUGGUAGCCGAACUGAGAGGUUGAUCGGCCACAUUGGGACUGAGACACGGACCAGACUCCUACGGGAGGCAGCAGUGGGGGAUAUUGCGCAAUGGGGGGAACCCUGACGCAGCAACGCCGCGUGAAGGAUGAAGGUCUUCGGAUCGUAAACUUCUUUGAUUGGGGAAGAAGCAGUGACGGUACCCAAAGAACAAGCCACGGCUAACUACGUGCCAGAAGCCGAGGUAAUACGUAGGUGGCAAGCGUUGUCCGGAAUUACU